UACAGAGGGUGCGAGCGUUAAUCGGAAUUACUGGGCGUAAAGCGUGCGUAGACGGUUACGUAAGUCGGAUGUGAAAGCCCCGGGCUCAACCUGGGAAUUGCAUUCGAGACUGCGUAGCUAGGAUGCGGAAGAGGGAAGCGGAAUUUCCGGUGUAGCGGUGAAACUGCGUAGAUAUCGCUUGGAACGCCAAAGGUGAAGACAGGUGACUGGGGUGUGCCGACGCUGAGA
rnacentral:rRNA from 1 species